rnacentral:rRNA from 1 species
GAGAAGUCCACUACACGUUAUCAUUUAGAGGAAGGAGAAGUCGUAACAAGGUUUCCGUAGGUGAACCUGCGGAAGGAUCAUUG